CCUGGAUGGAGAAAGCGUGAGGUCUGGUUCAGGGCUGAGGCCAGCUUGAAAGAGGAGCUGGCCAUAUGUGACUGGUACCUUCUCUUUCUCUGGUUGGUGUUUUUAAUUAUUUAAAACAUAAUUAUACAUUAAGAUACAGUCUCCAAAGGAUUUUAAUCAUAACAGUUAUAAGGUUGGUCACUAUUACAAAGUAGUUCAUGUUUACUGAAUUUAUGUAGUUUUUAAUUGUUUCUUGUGUUUAGUCUGGCUUCCUUGAGGAGGAAAGUUGGAAGGAGAAAGAAGGACAGGAAGAGUGAAGGGAGAAAGGACAGAAGAUAACUUGAUUUCCCUAAAACAUUUGAUAUAUAAGAACUACAACUUGAACUGUUACACUUCCUUACUUUGAAGAGAAUUCUUGGGCUAUAUGUAAUUGCCUAUAUGAGUCCAGUAAAGCUUGAUCUUUAUUGGUUUUCAAAUUGUUUAUCCUUUUCCCAACAAACCCUGUCCUGGCAGACAUUCUCCAGCAGGUGCAGAGUUAGUUCUCUCUCCCUGUGGGGUUAAGAGCAAAGGCAGCCAGACUGUUUAGUGGUUGGGAUGCUGCUGCCUAGCAACGGAACUCAAGUUGUGAUUCCCAAGGAGAAUACUGAUAAUCAGGAAGAAAGGAAUAAGCUGAAUUCAGCAGCUUCUCUCUAGUGGUAGGAACUGGAUUCAUCAGGGCAACUUUCCUAAUAGGAGAGAAAAAGAAAUGGGUCAACGUGGAGCAUGGAUGGAGGAAAGAUCUCCUUUGUUUUGCAAUAUCAUCAGUUACAUAUAACAGUCUCAUACCAAAGGAGUUGGGAAGUUGAUCCCAGUGCAUGGUACCCCUGGAUGGUUCCCAAGAGUGAGCAUCUCUCAUUUAUAACUCCUCAGCUCACUAUACCCUUCCACCAGAAUGAUCCCUAGAUUCUUGGUGACAUUUUUAGACCCAACAUAAAUAGUUCUGAGGUUUAAUUUUUCUAGACACUUCUGCCAUGUUUUUUUUAAUGAUGGCAGUAAUAGAUUUUUUAAAAAAUAUCUCAGUCACAGUUGAAACAUUGCUACACCUGAAAAUGUUGUGACAAGUAUCCAUUAGCUUUAAAUGUCAUACAGCAGACUCAUGUAAAAUAUGAUAGUGGGUUUGUUUGCUAUUGUCAUUAAGUGAGAUAUUAUAACUUUGGGGACUUUGAUACUUUUGAAUGUGCAUUACAUGCUAUAUUACUGUUCUUUAUAAAAAAUGUUACUUUGUGAAAAUCAUUUGCUUGCACUCACAGUGGAUCAUGGCCAAGUUUGAAAAGGAAAUGGAUCUCAUUUCCUCU
rnacentral:lncRNA from 1 species